rfam:Triticum aestivum genome assembly, contig: Triticum_aestivum_CS42_TGACv1_scaffold_433131_5DL
AUAGUACUUCCUCCGUCCCAAAAUUCUUGUCUUAGAUUUAUCUAGAUACGGAUGUAUCAAGUCACGUUUUAGAUACAUCCGUAUCUAGACAAAUCUAAGACAAGAAUUUUGGGACGGAGGGAUUACAAG